UUUUCGAUCAUCGAAAGCUCGUUAAGACUAGAUGGGUAUCCCUACAUAGCGGGUGGGACCCACGGCGAAUGGUUCAUCAAGUCUUCAAAAAAGAAUAUAUACGAUUGCAUUGCAUAUACUAACGGAUGCGAUCAUGCCAGCACUAAUGCACCGGAUCCCAUCAGAACUCCGCAGUCAAGCGUGCUUGGGCGAGAGUAGUACUAGGAUGGGUGACCUCCCGGGAAGUCCUCGUGUUGCAUCCCUCUUUUAUGUUUAACCUUUUUUUUUUU
rnacentral:rRNA from 1 species